rfam:Porphyromonas sp. COT-239_OH1446 contig_27, whole genome shotgun sequence.
GGCAAAACAGAUAAGGGCAGACGGUGGAUGCCUAGGCUCUCGGAGGCGAAGAAGGACGUGAUAAGCUGCGAUAAGCUGUGGGGAUCGGCACAUACGAAUUGAUCCGCAGAUUUCCGAAUGGGGCAACCCAGUACAUUGAAGAUGUACUACACCGCAGAGCGGUGAGCGAACGUGGGGAACUGAAACAUCUAAGUACCCAUAGGAGAAGAAAACAAAAGUGAUUCCCUUAGUAGUGGCGAGCGAACGGGGAUUAGCCCAAACCAAUAAUGUUUCGGCAUUAUUGGGGUUGUAGGACUACGAUAUGGACUUAUAUUUGAUAGAGGAAUGACUUGGAAUGGUCAAUCAUAGAGGGUGAUAAUCCCGUACUCGACAUUGAAUUUAUACCUAGUAGUAUCCUGAGUAGCGCGGGACACGAGUAAUCCUGUGUGAAUCUGGCGGGCCCAUCCGCUAAGGCUAAAUACUCCCGAGAGACCGAUAGUGAACCAGUACCGUGAGGGAAAGGUGAAAAGAACCUCGAACAGAGGAGUGCAAUAGACCCUGAACCCGUCUGCCUACAAGCGGUAGGAGCAUCAUUAUGGUGUGACUGCGUGCCUUUUGCAUAAUGAACCUACGAGUUACUCAUUCUGGCGAGGUUAAGUGAUAUUAGUCAUGGAACCGAAGCGAAAGCGAGUCUUAAAUGGCGGCCAGUCAGGGUGAGUAGACGCGAAACCAAGUGAUCUACCCUUGGUCAGGUUGAAGGUUAGGUAAAACUAACUGGAGGACCGAACCGUUAAGCGUUGAAAAGCUUCCGGAUGAACUGAGGGUAGGGGUGAAAGGCUAAUCAAACUUGGAGAUAGCUCGUACUCCCCGAAAUGCAUUUAGGUGCAGCCUCGGGAGUUUCUUAUACGAGGUAGAGCGACUGAUUGGAUGCGAGGCUUUCACCGGCUAUCAAGUCCAGACAAACUCCGAAUGCGUAUAAGUUAUAUCCCGGGAGUGAGGGCAUGGGUGCUAAGGUCCAUGUCCGAGAGGAGAAUAAUCCAGACCAUCGGCUAAGGUCCCGAAAUAAUAGCUAAGUUGAAUAAACGAAGUCAAGGUGCUAAGACAGCUAGGAUGUUGGCUUGGAAGCAGCCAUUCAUUUAAAGAGUGCGUAACAGCUCACUAGUCGAGUGCUUUGGCGUGGAUAAUAAUCGGGCAUAAGCUAUUUACCGAAGCUGUGGGAUAUUUAAUAUAUCGGUAGGGGAGCAUUCCAACGACGUUGAAGGUGAGGGGACAACCCUUUUUGGAGUUUUUGGAAAAGCAAAUGUAGGUAUAAGUAACGAUAAAGGAGGUGCGAAACCUCCUCGCCGAAAGACUAAGGGUUCCUGAUCAACGCUAAUCGGAUCAGGGUUAGUCGGGACCUAAGGGAUAGCCGAACGGCGUACCCGAUGGAUGAACCGGUUAAUAUUCCGGUACUAAUUAUACGAGCGAUGUGGUGACGGAGAAGUGGCAGUCCUGCCAGCUGACGGAAUAGCUGGUUGAAGGGUGUAGACGUUGAUCGAGGUAGGCAAAUCCGCCUUGAGAGUCGAACCUGAAAGUACUCUAAGUGCUUGCACGAGGAGAUAUGGACGUAAUCAGACUCCCUAGAAAACCCGCUAAGCAUAUUGUAUAAUUACCCGUACUCUAAACCGACACAGGUGGUUGGGUUGAGUAUACUAAGGCGCUCGAGUGAUUCGCGGUUAAGGAACUAGGCAAAAUAGUCCUGUAACUUCGGGAGAAAGGACGCUCUCAGUAAUGGGAGCCGCAGAGAAUAGGCCCAGGCGACUGUUUAACAAAAACACAUGGCUGUGCGAAAUAGCAAUAUGCAGUAUACAGCCUGACACCUGCCCGGUGCUGGAAGGUUAAGAGGAGAUGUCAUCGCAAGAGAAGCAUUGAAUUGAAGCCCCAGUAAACGGCGGCCGUAACUAUAACGGUCCUAAGGUAGCGAAAUUCCUUGUCGGGUAAGUUCCGACCUGCACGAAUGGUGUAACGAUCUGGGCACUGUCUCAACCGCGAGCUCGGUGAAAUUGUAGUAUCGGUGAAGAUGCCGAUUACCCGCAACGGGACGAAAAGACCCCGUGAACCUUUACUAUAGCUUUGCAUUGAAUUUGGAUAACAGAUGUGUAGGAUAGGCCGGAGACUAAGAAGCGGGUACGCCAGUAUUCGUGGAGUCGCUGUUGAAAUACGGCCCUUUUGUUAUUUGGGUUCUAACUCGCAAGAGUGAGGACACUGCAUGGUGGGUAGUUUGACUGGGGUGGUCGCCUCCAAAAGCGUAACGGAGGCUUCUAAAGGUACCCUCAGGCCGAUUGGUAACCGGUCGUAGAGUGUAAUGGCACAAGGGUGCUUGACUGGGAGACAAACAAGUCGCACAGGUAGGAAACUAGAGCAUAGUGAUCCGGUGGUUCCGUAUGGAAGGGCCAUCGCUCAAAGGAUAAAAGGUACUCCGGGGAUAACAGGCUGAUCGCUCCCAAGAGCUCAUAUCGACGGAGCGGUUUGGCACCUCGAUGUCGGCUCGUCACAUCCUGGGGCUGGAGAAGGUCCCAAGGGUUGGGCUGUUCGCCCAUUAAAGUGGCACGCGAGCUGGGUUCAGAACGUCGUGAGACAGUUCGGUCUCUAUCUGUUGUGGGCGUUAGAAAUUUGCGAGGGGCUGACACUAGUACGAGAGGACCGUGUUGGACGGACCGCUGGUCUAUCGGUUGUACCGCCAGGUGCACUGCCGAGUAGCUACGUUCGGAGGAGAUAAGUGCUGAAAGCAUCUAAGUACGAAGCUCACCUCAAGAUUAGAUUUCUUCAUAAGGGUGGUUAUAGACUAUGACCUCGAUAGGCUACAGGUGUAAAGGCAGUGAUGUCAUAGCCGAGUAGUACUAAUAGCCCGAAAGUUUUGUGCU